UGUAGGUGGGGAGCCGGGGAGCUGGAACCGGGAUCCUUAUGCUGGUCCUUGCGCUUUGUGCCACCUGUGCUUAACUUGCUGCGCUACCACCCAACUCCCCUAGCAGAGGAUAUUUUACGAAUAAGGAUAUAGCCACGUAUGUUUUCAAAUAGGCUGAGCAACACAGUCCAACAUGAUUUGAGUCAAACAAGCAAGAAGAAGGAAGGGAGGGUCCACCAGAAACAGAACAUUGAAGACUUCCAUUUUGGUGAGCCCCAAAUUGGCAGACGUGAAGUUUCUUUUAAAAUGAUAUACAUUAAUUACGUGAAUUUCAGUUUUCAUAAAAGUCAAAAAAAUGAAGUGUUCUGCAUAGGACAGAAGAUAUGCCUAAAUCAACAUACCAUAUUUGCACAAGGUCACUGUCAUGGAUACUAGAAAAACCAAAGUUUGUCUAUGGCAGACUGAGCAAAGAUUUCAGUUUGGUAUUUUUUAAGUUCAAACUCUCUUACUACACAGAAGUUCUAAUGACAUACAGAGUUUUAUGUAGAAACUCUUGUGCUUCUGGUUGGCACAUCAUUUAUGUUUUCAUUAUGUGAAAAUAAUACAGACAUUUGUGAGAGGCUGUGCAAAAUUAUUGUAUUUAAAAAGUGGCACAGAAGUGAUGUCAAUAGUACAUGCACACUUCAUUCAUAUCUUCAACAAGGGUAUCCUAACAUUACAGAACUGAGUAAGGAUACUAGCUUCAAGAGUAGCUGCUAAGCACUGGAGCCACUCAAGUCACACCAGAGUGGACAGACAUUGCCCAGGUCAGACUCUACUGUUAAAGCUGAAAUGGGUCUAAGGCCACUCAAGCUCAAGCAGAAAGCAAACCUUUUAGAGUCUCAUCUAUUUGCUUAAAAGGUUUGAUCAUUCUUACGACUUGUGGUCUUAAACUUUUAUUUUAUAAAAUCCAAAAGAGAGUACAGAAGAAAUCAGUAUGAGAGGUUAUAUUAAAUAAGAGAAAAACACAAAGGCAUAGUUAAGAUGAUGGGAA